AACGAACGCUGGCGGCAGGCCUAACACAUGCAAGUCGAGCGAGACCUUCGGGUCUAGCGGCGGACGGGUGAGUAACGCGUGGGAAUAUGCCCUUUGGUACGGAAUAGCCUCGGGAAACUGAGAGUAAUACCGUAUGUGCCCUUCGGGGGAAAGAUUUAUCGCCAAAGGAUUAGCCCGCGUUGGAUUAGGUAGUUGGUGGGGUAAUGGCCUACCAAGCCUACGAUCCAUAGCUGGUUUGAGAGGAUGAUCAGCCACACUGGGACUGAGACACGGCCCAGACUCCUACGGGAGGCAGCAGUGGGGAAUCUUAGACGAUGGGGGCAACCCUGAUCUAGCCAUGCCGCGUGAGUGAUGAAGGCCUUAGGGUUGUAAAGCUCUUUCGGCUGGGAAGAUAAUGACGGUACCAGCAGAAGAAGCCCGGCUAACUCCGUGCCAGCCGCCGCGGUAA
rnacentral:rRNA from 1 species